rnacentral:lncRNA from 1 species
AAACUAAGCCAUUAAGCUGCCUUCUCAUACACAUUAAUUAUGAAGAUACCAUCACUCAUGUUUGUCAACUACAAACCGUCCUGUGAUAAUUGAUUUAUUUUCUUUUAGUGCAGGGAGUUGUAAUGCUGAAGUUGCAAACUGUGCUGGCAGGCAAUUCCUGCAAGGACCCGAUCCCAGUGAGCUGGUGAAACCUCCCUUUGUCACCACAAGGCCUGGAAAGGUGUAGACCGAUGUCCCCCAUCCUCUUGGCCAGUGUGCCUACCUUCUGGUAUCUGCCCUCGCCAAAGGUGUCCUUCUGACAUAGGUUUGGCUGAAGAUCAGGCAAUUAUUUGAUGCUUUGAAUGUUGACUUAGGGAAAAGCUUUCAGGCCAAGAGGGUGUUGCUCGAAGCCUAUCUCAGGCACCCUCAACACCCCUAAAUUUUGCUGGGAUCCAUUGGUUCUGAGUACCCUGAGUCCCCUCUUUGCCAUCUCCAAUGUGUUUAUGGGCAAUGAGAGGGGCUGUUGUCCCUCUUCCAAAGGCAAAGGCAGCAGUGAUGGUGAAGCCCAAGCCCAUGCUUUUUCUGUUCUCCUCCAGCCCAUGCUGCUGGCACUGGGCUCUCCUAACACAUCUCUGCCCUUUCCUGCUGCAGGGAAAGACUGCAACAUAGGGCAGGAGAGGAAAAACCCCUCCAAUUAUGCUUUCUGCCUGUGCUGGCCAUGGUCUGCAGCCCAAGUUACCAAUGGGACUUGCUAAUAGAGCAUCUGGGACAGUCUUGCACUGUUUUCCCCAUAGCUGGUUUUCGGAUUAGUGCCUCCCAGCUGAUCGCUCUCCCAGAUGUGUGUGUGUCCAUACAUGCAGUCAGAUCACUGAUGGAUGCUCUGCAGCCAUCUGGAUGUCGGGGAGAAAUGACAAAUUUCCCCCUUACUGCCAGCCACCCCUUCCAUGAGAUAUUGAUGAAUGGCAUCUUUAUUGGCUGCUGGGCUAAUUAAAUAAAAGUUGCAUCAGCUUCUAGCUGACAGGCUCUAAUUGCUCCUGAUCAGAUUUUGAGAGGACCAAAUGAAUAGGAAAAUAAAAGGAAAUAGCAUGGAUUGGAUCCAAGAAAGUAUCUGACAGCAUUGUGCUUCUGUAGACCUGCAGGUGCUCAACACUGCAAAAGGAGUGUCUGGGAACCAGCAACCCUGCUGUGUUUAGAGGGUUUAGAAGGAUGCUUAAGCCCCAGGGCGGAGUGCCCAGGUUUUGGGUGGGUCCAGGACCUGGUGCACCACACAUCCCAGCACAGACAAACAUACCAAGAUGAAUGGUGGUGACUCUGAUUCAGUAUAUGGAGUGUGACGGAAGAGGUGAUGAAUUUGGUUCCAAAGGCAAUGCAUCAAGCUCAGCAUGAAGUGCCCCAAAUCUAUUGCACGUCGCAUCGGCUUCAAAUAUGCCCAUAGUAAGUGGGGCACCCUUACCUGAGUCCCACAGCCACCACCUUCCCUUGCUGAUGGUCUUCUCUUCAGCCUUCCAGGAUGUGAAGAAAACCAGCAAAACAGCCCAUCAGGUGCUGGUUAGAUAUUUGUCUUCAACUCAAUACAUGGCCAGCCCCACAACUAACGUGUAAGGGUGGCUGAAAACCUGCUGGCAAAAUGCUCGAAGAAACAGAAAACUUGUAUUGGAGGGAAAUGAAACCCCAGGGCACAAAACUUAUGUCUGGAAACCUUUGUCUUAAGACUCGAUAGAGGGCUGCAGCCAUCAGGGUGGAUAAAGAUGAGGAUGUUUUCCAUCAACUGUGUUAAUCCGAUCUGUCUCUGCAUACAGUUUUUUUUUUUGGAGAGCAGAUAAAAUACAACAGAUCCUGACAUGCUGAUCAGCCAAACCCUGCUGCCAUUUACAGGCAGGGGCUCCUACUGUGCCACGUACCCAAGAAGGGAUGCACCAAGGACACAAACAGGGGCUUGAGUACCUCUAAUGUACCCCUGCUCUGCUUGCAGUGAGGUGUUUGCAGGCUUGGUCUUUGCCCAAAACCUCUCCAGGAAACACAUCGUGCUGCUCCUGCCGCUGUCACCCAGGCAGCUUCAACCCUGGUCUCCAGAAGGGUAGAACAAACCCCUCUGGCAUGCUUUAAAUAGUUGAAACAACACCCUUCCAAGAGCAAAAACACUCACAAAUUUGAACUCCCAUUUUGGCAUCACCUCACGAACAACUUUGCUAAUGAAAUGCUGGGUUUGGGGAGCCUCUGUGCCCUCUCUGCCAUCCCACAACAUCCAAGGGAGGAUGCUUAUGCCGUGCUGUGCCCCAGGCAUGGCAAUGAGCACUGGGGACCCUCCCAGUGCUGUCUCUGUGCAGCCAGCCUCAGUGGCUGCAUCUGGGAUGCCAGUCUCUGCUCCUGUGUUGUGGCCAUGGGGUAAUGGGCUGGGCUUUGUGGCACUGCUCAACAUGCUGCAGCACAGCUCAAACACCCUGCAGGGCUUUACACUGCCAGAAAAUGUCUUGGUUGUGGAGAAGAGCAUGUAAUUUCUUUUCUUUGUUUAUUUGUUUUGCAUGGGAGGCAAGGCUGAUGGCUCAUAAUGAACAAGUAUUAUAGCUGAGUGCAGUUGGGCCCAUAAAUCAGUUGCUCCUUCUGGAGCACCAGCCAUCAGCAGCUGUCUGAGCUCUAAAAUCACCAGCACCAGCAUCUCCUCCGGAACAGGAGCAGUCUGCUGACACUGCCAUCCCCCUG